AGUAAAAGUCGUAACAAGGUCUCCGUUGGUGAACCAGCGGAGGGAUCAUUAAAAGCUAACGUAGAACCGGUUCUGCCGUGUUUGUCUGCUUUAACCCCGUGAACUUUAUAUAUUACCACCUGACGUUGCUUUGGUGGGUGAUGGAGGGAGUGUCUGACACUAUAAGUAAAAGUUGGCCCUCAGGCCUUCUGGAACUUAUACAUCAACCUCUAGAUCCCACCGGUAGUAGCUGAACCAAACGCUCCAAACCUUAUUGCUCAGCGCUCAAAUCUGAACUUUGAAAAAACAAACGAGUAAAAACUUUUGGCAACGGAUCUCUUGGCUCUGGCAUCGAUGAAGAACGCAGCGAAAUGCGAUACGUAGUGUGAAUUGCAGAAUUCAGUGAACCAUCGAAUCUUUGAACGCACCUUGCGGCCGCCGGCAUUCCGGCGGCCAUGCCCGUCCGAGCGUCGUUUCAACCCUCAAGAGAGCGUUAGUUUACCUGACAGGGUUUAUGAACAUCUUUUGGCAUUGGCCUGUUACAGUACUAUUUCUAUAUGGAAGAAGCUAUAACUAGCCGGAAAACAUUGGCAGUUGCGUCUGUAGAGCUUUCUAUGUAGUAACUAUUGCUCGUAUAAGGACUAUAGACCACUUGCCUUGAAACCACCUUCUAAGUUAUCGACCUCGGAUCGGGUAGGGAUACCCGCUAAACUUAAGCAUAUCAAUAAGCGGAGGA
rnacentral:rRNA from 1 species